ACGAACGCUGGCGGCGUGCUUAACACAUGCAAGUCGAACGGAAAGGCCCUGCUUUUGUGGGGUGCUCGAGUGGCGAACGGGUGAGUAACACGUGAGUAACCUGCCCUUGACUUUGGGAUAACUUCAGGAAACUGGGGCUAAUACCGGAUAGGAGCUCCUGCUGCAUGGUGGGGGUUGGAAAGUUUCGGCGGUUGGGGAUGGACUCGCGGCUUAUCAGCUUGUUGGUGGGGUAGUGGCUUACCAAGGCUUUGACGGGUAGCCGGCCUGAGAGGGUGACCGGCCACAUUGGGACUGGGAUACGGUCCAGACUCCUACGGGAGGAAGCAGUGGGGAAUAUUGCACAAUGGGCGGAAGCCUGAUGCAGCAACGCCGCGUGCGGGAUGACGGCCUUCGGGUUGUAAACCGCUUUCGCCUGUGACGAAGCGUGAGUGACGGUAAUGGGUAAAGAAGCACCGGCUAACUACG
rnacentral:rRNA from 1 species